rnacentral:lncRNA from 10 species
UAUGUGCAUUGAAUUUAUGUAAAUUUCAAUUAUUGUAUAUGGCAAAAAAGGAGAAAAAUACUGGAAAAUUUUAUUUUCAUAUACUUUAUCACAUAUAUAAAAUAAUAUAUCCAUAUUUAUAUAAUAUAUAUAAAACAUUCACAUAUCCAUAUUAUUGUAUAGAGUUGUAUGCAUACAUUCAUGUACAGUCAACCCUCCGUAUGCACGGGUUCUGCAUUGUGGACUCAACCAAUAACAGAUUGAAAAUAUUUGGAAAAAAAGAAAACAAUAUAACAAUACAAUCUAAUAUAAAUUUUAAAAUAUGGCAUAACAACUAUUUACAUAGCACUUACACAUUAGCAUUGUUUCUAUAGAUAUUAAAUUAACUAAAAGUAUCCCUUAUGGGAAACGAAGGGAUGGGCCAAAUUAAAGGAAUAGGUUGGGCUUGUUAACUGCAGCAGGAGCAUGUCCCUAAGGCACAGAUCGCUUGAUGGGAAGGUAAGCUAAAAUUGUUGGUGACAUUCCCAUAAACAUCCUUCCCCUAAGCACAGUCUUUUCUUCACAGAGCAUGUCUGGCCUAGAAGCCCAUGAGAAGAUGUCUUCUCUAGUACCAAACAGAAACCAGAGAAGGCGAGCUUCAUCUAGGUUGUUUGAAGGGGCCUCACUGUCCCUUAUCCUAAAAGAUAUUUGGUUUAUUUCCCUGAUCUUCCCUAAUCCCAGAAACAGAAAUUCUUUUUUUUUUUUUGAGAUGGAGUCUCACUCUGCCACCCAGGUUGGAGUGCAGUGGUGUGAUCUCAGCUCACUGCAACCUCCGCCUCCCGGGUUCAAGUGAUUCUCGUGCCUCAGCCACCCAAGUAGCUGGGAUUACAGGUGUGCGCCACCACACCCAGCUAAUUUUUGUAUUUUUAGUAGAGACAGGGUUUCACCAUGUUAGCCAGACUGGUCUCAAACUCCUGACCUCAGGUGAUCCGCCUGCCUCGGCUUCCCAAAGUGCUGGGAUUACAGUCGUGAGCCACCGCGCCUGGCCCCAGAAACAGAAAUUCUGAUACAUGGCACUAAGUAGACACACAGAAAGGCUUGGUUCUUAUAAGGCAACUGUCCCAUACAGUGGGGUUGAGAAUGUCCUUUUCCUCACAGAGCGCAUAAAAGGCAGCAGUGAAUCCAGUUUGCUCUUGCACUUUUUACAUGUUCCCUGUGCAGGGCCCAAAACACAAAACACACUUCCCUUCAGCUCCCUGAGUAGGUGACCUCCAGCAAGUUGCUCACUGUAGUCAGUUUAGCUGCAGCCACUAAAACGGAGUGUGUUGUGUUCCU